ACGGAGGGUGCAAGCGUUAAUCGGAAUUACUGGGCGUAAAGCGCACGCAGGCGGUUUGUUAAGUCAGAUGUGAAAUCCCCGGGCUCAACCUGGGAACUGCAUCUGAUACUGGCAAGCUUGAGUCUCGUAGAGGGGGGUAGAAUUCCAGGUGGUGCGGGGAAAAGGGUUGAGGUCCGGAGGAAUUCCGGUGGCGAAGGCCGCCCCCCGGAAGAAAACCUGACGUUCGGUUGCAAAGCGUGGGGAGCAAACAG
rnacentral:rRNA from 1 species